ensembl:lncRNA novel transcript
GCCCUCCUGGGGUGCCUCUCAGGGACCCAGGCGCUCAGCUGCUGGGGCCGCGGAGGGCGUUCGCGGGGCGCCGGGGAAGGCUAGGGCCGCGGGGUCCCCGGGGCGCCGUCCCCAACCGCCGACGCCUGCCAGACCACCAAGUGGGGGCCAUGUCGACGUGUGAGGAGCCUGGUGGAAGGUGAUACUGGAAUUCCGGCACUGGGCCUGCAACCCUUUUAGUCCACAGUUGUCAGAAUCUAAAGGGAAGAAAAACGAAGUGCUCAGAACCCUCACAGAAGCCGGGCACCUCAUCCCGUGUGUGGGUUUUUUCCCCAGUACAAACCCAUUGUGGGGACAGGCGCUUUUGAAGAAAAAAUUCAGAUUCCCGGGCUGAAGUGGCUCCUCACAGCCUUGAACCUGACCCCCAGCUUCCCGCUAAAGCCGAGCGUGCCCAGCACGGCGAGGUCAGCAGAGGCCCCUCGGAGGGCGGCCGGGGGAGGUCAGUGGGAGGCCCUCGGGCAGCCGGUGGAUGGGCCGGCGACCUCCCCGACUCCAUCAGAAGCGCUCAGUCUGUGCCCUUCAGUUACUGGAGCAGCUCCCGUCCUUUGGCCAGUUCUCUGGAAGGUCGUUUCCGUUUCUGUGUCUGCCACACGUGCAGCACAAUCGAAAAACCUUGUUCGACAUUUCUAGAAAGAGUAGAUGCUACUGAAGACCCAAUAGAUUGCUGAGGGUUUUCAGAGCAGGGACAAUUGCAUCAGGGUGCUGGGCUCCGGGAAGAACUCAGAGGACUUGGCUGACGGGCGGAUGGGACAGUGAUUGGUGCCGAGAAUGGGCCAGAGAAGCAGGUCUGCCUGGAGCAGGCACCCGAGGCCGCGUGCAGGGGCGGUCCUGGGCCACCAACCCCUGGAAGCUGGGCCAGGAGCUUCGGAGCCAUCCGAGGCUUUUUUCGCUCCUCUCACUCUCAUGCACCUAGUUACCCUCCCCACAGAGUCUUCUCACGGCGCGGUUUUCGGCUACCAUUGCAGUGGUGUCUGACUACACCCAGUGCCUCUAUCGUUCCCCCCUCAGUCUGUUCUCGCUUCUUGGCAAACCUGUCCUUGGAAAGCCCUCUGCUGACUCCUGUUACCCUGAUCAAAUGCAUCCUCCUCAGGAGGCUCGUGAGCCCUUUGCAGGGUGGCCCAAGAGGCAUCACGCCCUGCUCUCCAGCCACUCUUGGGGUCCCCUACAGGGCCAGGCGUCCCACACCAGCAGCGGGUGCUGGUCCUGCCACAGUCUGUGCGACACGUGAAUGAAGGCUGUAGACCUGUGGUCUGCGGGAGGCAAAUUCCAACUCCAGCUGUCAAACAUAAGGGGACUGGUAGGCUCUCCAGGGUGGAUUGUCUCACGGCAUCCAGAGGCAGGGACCGAGGCAGGGACCUAGCCAGGCCUCGGGAAGGAGCUGCAAACCCAGGAGCUCUGGGGUGUGGCUUCAUCUCCCUCCCUCCCUACCACCCUACCCCCAUCUCUCCGUGUUCUUCAGAUGCCUCAUUUUCCUGUCAGGCACCUGGCCAGCUCUAGGAGCUGGAAUCAGGUUGGUGCCUCCUUGGUCAGUGUCCACCCCUAGUGUCAUCCACAGUGACCAACGGAAGGGGUGGCCGGUGGUACAGGACAUUGGCCAUCUUGGGAAAGAUCACAGAGACAGGAAGGGCCUCUCCAGCUGAGCAGAUGAGAGGUUCUUCAGUGGUCUGGACACAUUUGCCCACUCAUGGCCGUCCCCCUGCCCUGUUGAGAGAACCGAUGAGGAAAGGGAGCCCUGCAUCUGUCGCCUUCCGACUCCGACCGCCUGAGGCUGGGCUGCCGGCAAGCCGCGGCAGCAUAUGACAGCACUUGAAAGAAAGUCCCUGGAAAGAAUGUGGAUCAUUGCAGAACUCCCUCAAGAAAGCGCCAGAGGAGGACCCCAUUCAGCACCCCGCAGAACUCCUCAAACUCCUGCGUCCACACUCCCCCAGCGUGGUGGCUGCUUCUAUCUCCCCAGGCUUAGCUGGCCUGGGUCUUGAAGGCCUCUCCUCCUGCUGUCCCCACGCAGCAUCCUCUCUGCCACUGCACAGCUGGAUGCAGUGAAGGCCAGGCGGCUGUGGCUGCUUGGGCAACAGGAGCUGCUUGACCCUGUUCUGCUGGCCUUGUUGGCCUCACUCCCGUAGAGAGCCAAGGUUACCCACGUCUCUGAAGCUAAGGCUUUCUUUCUAGGCCUGGGGGAGUCACAUCUUGCAUUCGUACUCACUGAGCUCCACGUCUAUGGCCCUGGUGUGUGAUGUUGCCCGCACUGUGUCCAAGUGUUCUCAUUGUUCAAUUCCCACCUGUGCCAACUCCUGGGAUCUUAUCGGGAAGUGGCUCAUCAUCAGCUUUAGGUGUUUUCUAUCUAUUGGGAGCCUGCCUUUCUCUGGCACCAGCUGCAACCAAUAAUUAUUUUAGACAGUUUAACAACAGCUUGACCAUCACCUGAUGAUCACCUGACAUUUCUGUUGGGGCGCGGGCCCAUCUCCUGCCCCGCUCAUGUGGGGCUCAGUCUGCCCAACCUUUCCCCAAGGGCCUGUCUUUACUUCAUUUGUGGUAAGCCCCAAGCAGAAUGGACUCUUGUUAUGAUCCCAGGAACUGCUCACGGCCACCUCUGUGGAUGAACACCUAGCGGCUGCUCUAAAUACAUGCUGUGAAAGUUGUCAGAAUCAAAAUGGAGUCACUAAUGUUAAGAAAGCCCUGACAAAGAGUUGGUGGGGAAGGCCACGAAGAGAGGACACUUAUGCUUGCAUGCCUGAUACCAGAAAGGACUACAAAAACCACAGCCCGGCACAGAGGCCAUCACACCCUUACACAAAAAAUAUUUCUGCAAGGACAACUGCCCAGCAAUUGCCUGUCCAACCUCAGACUGGAAUGACCUUUGUUAUUGAUGUUUGUAGCCAAGGAGAAUUAUCUCAAAACCACUGUGAUCCUGCUCGCUUUUCCUUUAAAGACCUUUGUCUUCCUUGACCUCCCUGAAUAGGCAUAUGGUUUACUAUGGCGUGUGUACUCUCCUUGUAAUGUUCUGUUCUCAAGCUAACAUCUAUUCUUCUAGAGAACCUCUCUCUUAGGCUGACAACGCUGUGGAUCUGGGCUCCCAGGAACUGGGGCUGACAUCAGAGGGGUGGAAAGAGAACAGCAGCUCUCCCUGAGGGGAUGCUUGCCAAGGAUAAGGAGACGAUGGUUCUCUAAGGAUUAUUUUAUAUUCAUCUAAAAGGGUAUUUUUGUUGUUACCCCUAGCCUUUUUUCCCUUUUAAUUUUCUGAUGAAUAAUUUAUAUAAAGAAAACCC